rnacentral:rRNA from 1 species
UACGUAGGGUGCAAGCGUUGUCCGGAAUUAUUGGGCGUAAAGAGCUCGUAGGCGGCCUGUCGCGUCGGCUGUGAAAACCCGGGGCUCAACCCCGGGCCUGCAGUCGAUACGGGCAGGCUAGAGUCCGGUAGGGGAGACUGGAAUUCCUGGUGUAGCGGUGAAAUGCGCAGAUAUCAGGAGGAACACCGGUGGCGAAGGCGGGUCUCUGGGCCGGAACUGACGCUAAGGAGCGAAAGCGAGGGGAGCGAACAGG